CCCGCCUCGUCUCCCCACCCCGCACCCCCCCUUCCCCGCCCCGGCCCCCCGCCCCGGAGCUCGCCUCAACCGCCCCGAGCCUCCAUUUCCCCCCCCUCCUCCUCAGGAGGGGGUGGAGGGCUGGGUCCGCCCAAAGCCCUCCUACUCCGGGAGAGGGGGUCUGUCGCCUCUCCCGGGGGUCUCCGCGGCUCGGGGUCCCCCUCCCCCACAGUCACCCCCGGCGCCUCAGCGUUUCCCUUUAAAAAAACGGAGCCGCUCGUAGCCGCCACCGCCGCAGCCGCCGCCAACCGGAGGACGCAUGCGCGGGGAGGGGAGCGGGCGGGAGUGCACCGGGAGCCGAGAGGAGGGAGGCGGGCCGCGCUAUUGUGAAAGGGGCCGCCGCCGCCUCGAGGGGGGCAGGGAGGGGACCGCGGGGGCCGGGGGCCGGCGAGGGGAGGCCGGGGCUGAGGGGCGAGGACCGAGGAGCGCGCGGAGGAGCGGGGUGAAGCAGUCCCACGCGGGUAUGGGAGAGAAUGAAGUUCUUUGUCUCUAAGGGAUUCAAACCAGAAACGGAGGGACCUCUGGUUCCCAGAGGGAGGAAAAUCCAUGAUGUCUGCUGCCCAGGGAGCUAUUGCCACCGCCUCCUUGGGAUGAAGUAUUGCCAGCUACCAACAGUUCCUUCCCAACGGCCAUCUUCCAGCCUUCUUAAACGACUCCUAGCAUCUUCGGGAGGCUCCUGAAGGACUGAAGCAAAGGAAAUCUCUGAAGGGAUUUAGUCCUUGAAAGGGAGUAGGGAUACUUAGGGUGUUCUGUGUUGAGCGCUUCUUCCUAUCUCUCCAGCUUCAUGUAUGUGUGUCUUUAUGUCCAAGCAAUUGAGCCAACAAGUCCUCAGAAUUCCUUGUGAAAAAAACGUUUUUUUUUUUUGAGACGGAUUCUCACUCUGUCGCCCAGGCUGGAGUGCAAUGGUGAAAUUCAGCUCACUGCAACCUCCGCCUCCGGGGUUCAAGCGAUUCUCCUGCCUCAGCCUCCCGAGUAGCUGGGAUUACAGUCACGCGCCACCACGCCCAGCUAAUUUUGUAUUUUUAGUAGAGACAGGAUUUCUCCUUGGUCAGGCUGGUCUGGAACUCCCGACUUCAGGUGAUCCGCCCGCCUCGGCCUCCCAAAGUGGUGGGAUUACAGGUGUGAGCCACCGUGCCCAGCCCUGAAAUAGUCUUAAUUGCUUGUUUUUCUUUUUUGUCUGAGGUGUGCUUUUUAAAAUCUCUAUGGAGAUGGAGAAGACUGACAUUCUCUGGCCUGAUGUGAAAACCUCUCAUUAAAACUGUGUCUGUGCUUUGUGGGCUGAAAGCAUGAAACACUGGAAAUUUUAAACAAACGUAUGUGAAUGUGUUAAGAAGCCAAGAGUCCGGCCCUCUUUCACCAGACUGUAUGGCCUCAGAUCAGCAAGGGAAGUAUUGAGCUUAGGGACACCAAGUAAUGGAGUGAGCAGGGAUGAGAGGGCACAUAGAAUGUGGUGAUCUCUUUCCAUGUCAAGGCUUGUGUGUUUGUGGCACUGGGGUCUUGCUGUGUCCCCAAGGCUAGAGUACAGUGGCACAAUUAUGGUUCACUGCAGCCUCAACCUCCAGGGCUCAAGUGAUCCUCCCACCUCAGUCUCCUAAGUAGCUGGGACAACAGGCUUGGGCUGCCACACCUGGCUAACUUUUUAUUUUUUUGUAGAGACGGGCCUUUGUAAUACCAGCCUUUGUUGCCCAGGCUGGUAUUGAACUCGCUCAAGCGAUCCUCCCACCUGGGCGUCCCAAAGUGCUGGGAUUAUAGGAGUGAGCCACUGUGCCCAGCCUUCAGCGUCAAGACUUUCUGCACCAUCUCUACGCUGACAGCUCCGUAAUUUAUAUUUCUUUCUGGACUCAUCCCCUAACUCCAGAAUCAUAUAUCCAACUGUCUAGUAUACAUACCCAGUUGGAUGUCUAAUAGGUAUUUCAAACUUACAUCUAAAAAUCAAGCUCCCGAAUUCCUCCCACCCAAACACCCA
rnacentral:lncRNA from 10 species